rnacentral:lncRNA from 1 species
AGGUACUCCCAUUUCCCAGUCAGGUAGUUUAUAACAGAGUUGGAAAGUGUGGGAGCAGGACAGUCGUUCUACUGCUACGUAUCUUGUCCGAAAAACACGGGUUUAAUUUAGUUACGUCGGACAUCCACAAUAAGACCAGAUUGACCAAAAAUGAACAAGUAAGUAAUAACCUAACGUGUUUCAUUCAUUGAAUUGUGAAUUGUGGAAACAUCACAAGUAAUUCCUCCAUCAUUCCCAGUUUAGUGACAACACCCCUGUGGCUAAUUAGAUAUUCAAUUUCAUGUUUUCAGUGUUUGAGAACUGGAGCUGUUUUAAUGCCACGAUGAUAACAGUAAUCUUAAUAGAAGACAUUAUGUUAACAUAAUAACAGACAUAUGCAUGUUUAGCCAUCCUACUUAUAAGUAGCUGCGAUAAAGGCCAUUCUGAACAUAUUCUUAUAAGGUGCCCAGUAUCACUGAAUCUGCUGCAUUUAACAUUAAUUUAUGUUACAGAAUAAUAAAAUAUUUAACUUUAUUUGUUUAAUAGUUCCAAUUUUAAUCCUUCAAAAAUCUUUUCUAAACCUUGUUUUCAUGGUAAAAUAUCUUAUAGCAAGUAAAAGAAAAUCCAAAGGGAGAAGUGAGCAAGAAGCCAGAACCAAAAUAUGCUUGGUAUUUCUGUUAAUAUUUUGUUAAAGCAGUUCCCAAACAUUUUUGGAUAUGAGCCUCUUCUAAGCCGGAAAAAGUUGACUUGUUUUCUUUCUCUUACCCUUGUUGUUGUAGCAGUGGUAGAUGUGAAAUCUGAUCAUAAUCACAUAAUCAGACACUAAACCUAGCAAGUACCAAACUGGAAAUUCCUUUUGCUAAGCAAAAUUUAUAAUGUGCCACUCAAUAAAUCUUUUGAGGAAGUCCUCACAUGAUCUGUACUUUCCAUUGGCUUCACAAUGUUCAUGGAUAUACGUAUAACAAAGAAACUUAUUUUUUAAUUUCUCAUGUUCAAGAUGUACAAUCUAUUUUUGUCUUCACUUCUCACCCUCAGCUUAAUUGUCAAUUUAAUCAUAGUCAGGGAUUAAGAGAAUUACCUUAAUCCCUUAAAGGAACAGGGUCAGGAACACAAACAUGUAUUCCUGACCCUGUAGUAAAAACCCACCAUUUAAGUGGCUUGCCCCCCCCCACCUUAACCCCAUCAGAAUGGGUUAAAACUCACCUUACUUUUAGCUCACUAUGGGUCUGCUGGCGCUGGCCCCGCCCCCUUGGUGACCUCAUCAGAAUUGCCGAUUUUUAGUCAAUCCAAUGCAUUCCCAAGGAGAAAGCAUUGGAUCGGCUAAAAUUGUCAAGGGGGCGGAGCCAAACACAGUUUUGGCCAAUCAGCAUCUCCUCAUAGAGAUGCAUUGAAUCAAUGCAUCUCUAUGAGGAAAAUUCAGUGCCCCAUACAGAGCGUGGGCCUACUGUGCAGCACUGAGCCAGGAAGCACCUCAAGUGGCCAUCUGAGGAGUGGCUACUUGGAGUUGGCUGUGUUUGCAUAAAAAUGCCUGAAAGCAAUGAUUAUACUCACCAGAACAACUACAUUAAGCUGACUAUAGUGUCCCUUUAAGGACACAGCUUCAGUUACUUUUUUUGUACUUUAGGGAAAAAGCUAUUUUUUUCUGUGUGUGUUCAUCCACAAUUUCCAUUUUUCUCAUUUAUUGCAUCAACACAUAUUAAAAACUUUUUUUUAAAGGACAAAAAUGGUUUUAAUGUAAUGCAACAAACAUAUAAAUUCUCAUAUUUUAUACAAAAAAUACAGGAAAAUAACUGUUUUGGCAAUAAUAAUGUGUGCAUAAUUAGUGCUGCCUAAGAAAAGUAAUUAAUUCAAAAUUAAUAAUUGUAUUUGUCCUCAUUUUACUGUAUGUCUACGAUUUCAGUUUUUGUUUUCUUGGGUAGUUACAGGUCACAAACUACAAGGAUAAAAUAUAAUUUCAAUGUGGAAUGAUUUUAGAAAAUGGUAUGUUUGCCUUAUAAUAACAGCCAUAACAGAAAACAAAAUUGCCACACAAAAGUAUACAUUUAUAUAAAGUAGACAUCACAGGCUAUUUACCUAUGGGUGUUUUGACACUGCUAAACUUUAAAUUACUCCAGAUGUAAUUCUGUGUGUGUUUUUGUGCACUCUGUUUCUCCUGUCCUUUAUUGGUUUUAAGCAAGGAAUGCUUGCUCAGAAGUGAAGGGAAGUUAAAGGAUCACUAUAGGGUCAGGAACACAAACAUGUAUUCCUGACCCUAUAGUGUUAACACCACCAUCUAGCCCCCCUGGGCCCCUCAUGCCUCCAUACAUGUAGCAAAAUCUUACUGUAUUCAAGCCUGAAGCUGUAACUCUGCAUGCUGUUUGUCUCAGAAAAACAAGCAGUCUGCUGACAUCAUCAGAAGUGGUAGCCUGAUCCAAUCACAGUGCUUCUCCAUAGGAUUGGCUGAGACUAACAAGGAGGCAGAUCAGGGGCAGAGCCAGCAUGAUUCAAACACAGCUCUGGCCAAUCGGCAUCUCCUCAUAGAGAUGAAUUGAAUCAAUAAAUCUCUAUGAGGAAAGUUCAGUGUCUGCAUGCAGAGGGAGGAGACACUGAAUGUUUGGAUGCAUUUUAGGCAGCCAUGACCCAGAAAGGAUCUCUAACAGCUAUCUGAGGAGGGGCCAGUGAAGUUAUCACUAGGCUGUAAUGUAAACACUGCAUUUUCUCUAAAAAAACAAAAAACAAAAGGAGUUUACAGCAAAAAGCCUGAAGGUAAUGAUUCUACUCACCAGAACAAAUUCAAUAAACUGUAGUUGUUCUGGUGAAUAUGGUGUCCCUUUAAACAAUGGCAAUAUACAACAAUAUAGGUUUAAAGUGUUAAAUGCUUGUUAAUACAUAUUUAGAAUGGGCAAAGAGAGAUUUAAUGCACUUGUUCUAGUUAUAGAAGCAUACUCUCUGCAGUACACACAUGCAAAAGUUGAAUAUAGAUAUAAAAAGGGGAAUGUUCACUAAACAAAUAAAAAUAUAAGAAGCACCAAAUUCUUUAAAAACCACCAAAAAUGUAAUACACAAUACACUUGUUAUAACACGAAUGGAAAAAGGUUCUGGAUGCAAAAAAAAAUAUCCCAACUCUUUAUUGUUACUAUAUGAAAUAAAAAAUGUGAAGAAAAAAUAAUAAAUAGAUUUUUUUUUUUAAAAGUAAAUGUAUUAUAUGUCAUUUAAUUUUUGCUAUUAAAAAGGAACUUGUCUAAAUAGUUAUCAGAACUCUAACAAUUCUAAAAAAAAAAAUCUUUUAAAUUAAUUAUAGAAAAGGGCAUUGCUCAAAAUCUGAUUUUAAGCCAUGUGGCUUGAGAGAGAGUAUUGAGAUUGAAGAUCCACUUAAUCUCCAUUUGACUAAUUUUUUAAUGAUGUUUUUCCAUUUUGUACAGCAAAAAAUGGAGUCCGAUUGAAUCACUAUUGUGUUGCAUUUUAAAGUGCAAAGAAAAACUAUGAUUUUCAUACUGUUUUGUUUUGUUAUUUGCUUUUUAUAUUUCUUAUGUGUUUUUAGAUUUGGUCUGUCAGGCAACGUAGUACAUUCUGCAAGGACAUAUAAUAAUAAUAAUUAUGUUCUUAGAGUUACAAUUAUUACCUUACAUAUAAAAAUGGUGUGCUAUGUCUUUAAAACUAUUUAUAGUAAGUGUAUAUACCAAAAAUCAUACUAAAUGUGUUCAAGCGCCCUGUGCGAGACAAUCUUGUGGCGCCCCCGCCCCGCCAUCUUUGUUUGACCCCUUUUAGACAAUUUCAGGCACAUUCACAAUCUAUCGCCUGCACCCCCUUCAACAAAACCCUGCCCCCUUCAUCAGUACCCUGCCCCCCUUUAUCACUAGACCCCUGCCCCCCUUUUUCCCAGCCUCCUGCCACUUGCCUUUAUCACUAACCCUUUGCCCCUUUUAUCACUAGCCCCUUAUCACUAGCCCUUCACCAGCCCUCUGCCCCUUUAUCACUAGCCCUGCCCCACUUUAUCCACCCAGCCCCUACCCCCUUAUCUCUAGCCCCCUGCCCGCUUCAAUAAAAUGCAAUCGUUAUAUAAAAAAAAGCAAUAAGGACAAACACUUACAUUAAAGGCUGCUGCUCCCUGUAUCCAGCUGUCAGUUUUUCCCACUCCGCUGACUCGCCGACUGAAGAGCACCUUCCGUCCUGACACCCACUGAGCAGAUCCUUCUGACGUCGCACCCCCACGCUCCUCCUCCACGCUCCUUCUGCAUUCCAAUUCGGGCCGGUUUGUGAGUGACCGACUGCGAGCUGUGUCGGCCACCUGGCACCUCUGUUGCCAUGGCGCCCUGUGUGGCCGCACAGCUCGCACACCCCAAAGACCGGCCCUGGUUAUAGUCAUACAAAAAGGCAUUCAGUCAGGCACAGUUACACAGGCAGACGGAUCACCCCCCCGUGCCACCCCGCCCUUCCCCCCUGCCCUGCCUUCUAAAUACACACACACACAUUCACUGGCAGACACGCAUACACUAGCUAACAGACAUACACACUCACUAACAGACACGCAUACACUCUCACUAAUGGACACACACAUAGCAACACACUCCCUAACAGACACAAUCCCUGACAUACACACACUCACUAACAGACACACACUCACACUCACUAACAGACACACACACUAACAAACACAUACACACAAUAAUAGACACACACACACACACACUCGCUAACAUACACACACACACUCACUAACAGACACACACACACUCACUAACAGACACACACACACACUAACAGACACACACACACACUAACACACACACUCACUAACAGACACAUACACUCACUCACUAACAGACACACACUCACUCACUAACACACACACACACACACACAUACUCACUCACUAACAGACACACACACUCACUAACAGACACACACACACUUACUAACAGACACAUACACACACACACUCACUAACAGACACACACACUAACAGACACACACACACACUCACUCACAUUAACACACUCACUUUUUUUUUAAUUCAAUCCCCCCAGCCUCCGUACCUUUGGGAAUGCUGGGGGGGUUCUCCCUUUCCCUGGGGUCCAGUGGGGCUGCUGGGCGGCACUGGUGAGGGAGCACUGAUUAGUGAGCUCUCUGCUCACCAUCCUUGCGCGCCGCAGAGUGAUGCCGGGAGCCGGAAUAUGACGUCAUAUUCUGGCUCCUGGCAUUACUCUGCGGCGCGUGAGGGAGCUGUGCAGAGAGCUCAGGGGAAAGUGCUCCCUCGCCAGCGCCGCCCGUCAGCAUGGAUUUUUACUUAGCCGUCCGCCUGCCUGCCUGGACUGUUAGCCGCCAGGCUAACAAGACAUUUGCCCUGGGCAUUUGGGGGCGGCUUUUUUUGCCGCCCAAUGCAAAUGCCUUGUUUGCCUCGCGACUAAUACGUCCCUGGUCUCACAUACACACACACAGACAUAGAUGCAGACACUGUUACAGACAGUCACACACAGAGUACAGUCUCUCUCACACACACGCAGACAUUCAGACACUGUUACAGUCACACACAGAGUAGUCUCACACACAGGCAGUCACACACAGAGUAGUCUCACACACAAGCAGAUAGUCACACACAGAGUACAGUCUCUCUCACACACACACAGGUGCACACACGCAGACAGUCAGACACUGUUACAGUCACACACAGAGUAGUCUCACAUACACACAAGCAGACAUUCAUACACAGAGUACAGUCUCACACACACACAGGCAGACAGUCAGACACUGUUAUAGUCACACACAGAGUACAGUCUCACACACAGGCAGACAGUCAGACACUGUUACAGUCACACACAGAGUACAAUCUCACACAUACACAGGCAGACAGUCUCUCUCUCACACACAAUACAGUCACAAUUACCUAUUUCCUUAUGGCUGGAAUGGAGGAGUGGAAGCAGGGAUUCUUUUCUGUGCAGUACAGCUUCAGUGCCUCCUCCAUGCGGUAAGCUCCGCCCCGCUGUUUGGUAAGCCCCUCCCCCUUUUCAUAGUCCCCGGUGGAAAAUAAUGAAUCUUCCACCCAGGGACUUCCUUUAGCUCCCCCUGCACUCACCGGCCAUGUGCAAGCUGUGUCGGCCACAUGGCGCCCCCUGCUGCAUGGCGCCCUGUGCGGCUCUCUCACACACACACACACAGCACCCUUCACAAACAACACCUCACAGACACACAUAGAAAAAAGCAGAAUAGAAAAAUAGAUGAAUUUAAGUACUUGUAUUUUAUUAAACCCUCUCUAUAUAAAAAAAAAAAUAUGUACUUAAAUUUAUCUAUAAAAUUCGUUACUGUGGCACUGGUGAGCGGUAAGGAAGUUUUACCAUCAAAGAUACAAAAGUGGGCAGCAGUUAUUAAAAGGUUGACUACUCCUGGUCUAUACCAUGGGUAGUCAACCUGGUCCCUACUGCCCACUAGUAAUGGGCGGUUUAGGAUCUCAGGUGGGCGGUGGUGGGGUCUGUACGGUAACACUCUCUGUCUCCAGCUAACUGUCUAACUCUAUACGGUAAAACUAUCUAUGUGCAGGUGACAGUCUAUACCGUAACAUUCUCUAUCUCCAGGUGACAGUCUAUACCGUAACACUCUUUAUCUCCAGGUGACAAUCUAUACUGUAACACUCUUUACCUCCAGGUGACAGUCUAUACCGUAACACUCUCUAUCUCCAGGUGACAGUCUAUAUCUCCAGGUGACAGUCUACACUGUAACACUCUCUAUCUCCAGGUGACAGUCUAUACUGUAACACUCUCUAUCUCCAGGUGACAGUCUAUACCAGGGGUAGGCAAACUUUUAGCAGCACUGUGCCGAUAUAGGAUUGUGAUGUCCCGUAGCGUGCCGGUCCUAUUUUUUUAAAUUGAGUUGUGUAUGCUGCCGUAUUCUGCUUGUGUUAUUUUUACUGCAGUUGCUUUGCAUCGUUGUAUUUGUGCUUAUAUAAGCUAUUAUAUUGUAUAUGUUCAUUAGUAGUUUAUGGUAUUGUGUAUGAUACAUAUGAAUGUGGGCUGUGUAUGAGGGCUGCUUGUGGAAUUGUGUAUGGAUGGAUAUGUCACAUUGUGUGUUUGGUAGUGUGUGUGGGCUGUUUGGGGUAUUGUAUGUGAGAUGCUGCAUGUGGGGUUGUGUGCAUGUAUGUGGAUUGUUAGCGGGUUAUGUUUGUGCAGAUUGUGUGUAUGUUUGUGUGUGGGCUGUUCGUAUCAUUUGUAUAAGGGGAGGGUUAUUCUUCAUUUCUGUGUUAUGAAUGUAAAUUAGUGAUAGUAAAAUGUCUAUUUACUGUGUAUACCUGUAUUCAAUAUCUACUAACUACCUCGUGUAACAAGAUGGUGCCUACAUCCGAAUUAAAAUUCCGGGAUGAUGGUGACAUCACGCCUCGCAGGAUGUGCAUUAGAUAAGACACUUAACACCUAACCAAUUAAAGAUGUAUUCUCUCUGUUAUCUACAUUUUUGCAUAUUAUGUAUUUUUGCCUUUAUAAGGGGCUUGCCACCCCCUGAGUAAAAAUUCCGAAGUUUUUCAUUCACCUGAUACUUGUGUCUCAGUGUAAUUUACUUCAGAGCGUGCACGCAUUUAUUUUAACAAUUUGGAAAGGAGGAGAUACUCAGAUAAACACUUGGUUUGAUCCACAAUAUCUGUGUAUAUCUAGCAGUGUGGGUAGCUUCCCUGGGUUCCAGUGGGGACCAGGCUUGCCAGGUACAAGUCAAAGACAGGAGCUGCAACAGCAGCUGCAGGCCGCACUACUACGUUGUGGAUUCCCAUUCACAAGUGCUUGGAGGAAGUGAUCUGAGAUCAUUUCCUCUAUAUGCUGCAAUGCUUAAAUUGAGGAUUGUCCUUCACCAUCUUUUCAUAUUAGCAGAUAUUUGAAGUUUUACUGGGACUCCUGAUAGGCCAGAGCCUGUUUGGCUCAAGCAGCCUUGAGUGCCGUGCAAAGACACCUCGAGUGCCGUGCAUGGCACUAGUGCCAUAGGUUGCCUACCCCGGGUCUAUACUGUAAAACUCUAUAUCUCCUGCUCUGUAAAUUGAACUUUAAUUACAUACAGGAGGAUUCUGCAAGCUACUAAUAGUGCAGGAGAUAAGAAAUUCUGAAUUAAAUAGAAUUUUCAAUAAAGGAAGUAUAAUAUAAGGUGACUCUUUACAGGAAGUGUUUAGAAAGGCUGUGUAAAUGACAUGCAAAGAUUUGAAGAGUGAGACUGCAGGGGAAUGAUCUUUACACCAAAACUGCUUCAUUAACCUAAAGUUGUUUUGGUGACCAUAGUGCCCCUUUAACAAACAAACACAAAUCCUAAAUCACACAGAAUACAUGUAAUUGUUAGCACCAAAAUAGCAUAUGAUGGAAAUAUGUUAUUUAUCCUUUAAAAAAUAUAGGCUUUUUUUUUUUAUUUUUUUACCAGCAUCACUGUCUGUUUCCUAAAUAACUUAUGGUAGCAUGGAAUGUCAUUCUUGUUAAUGGAUUCAGAGAUUGAUCUCAGGAAUGGCACUACCAGAUGAUUUUGUGAUUGUAGCUCUGUAAUACUCUCAAACACACUUUAAGGUGAUCUAUUAUAACAUGCCCUUGCAUUCUAAAUGCACACAGUACAUACGUAUACACCCCUGCAAACGGCAACGAUACAGAGAAAUACACCACUGAAAUUAAAUGGCAACACCACACACAAACACACCAACACACCUGUAUAUUCAAAAACAUACACAGCUCGCAAAUGCAGCCCUGCAAGGAUGGGUAAAUGGUAAAUCCCCAGCUGGAAAAGCUUAAUUGAAAGUCAGACCUUGGUGAUCUAAACCAAGUAAGCCGGUGUCUUGUUUCUAUAUUCUCCAUAUAUUGUGUCCCUUCAGGUUGUCAUGUGUUGCUUUGUUGAGGCACCAUGAUAUAGCAUCAUGCUACAACCACCAAGAUAAAUCAUGAUAUUGCAGCCCCAUCAAUCACUUAUUAUGCAGACUGUCAAAAGAGCAAAGAUAAGUGACUUGUGCAACCUCAGGCUCCAGGGACAGAGGCAACAAUAUCCUUGCAGCUCAGAGCUACUUUUUCUGUGAUACUUUUGCAUAUGCCACAGAACUGAUUUAAAUGUGUAAAUAUACUUUUUUAUAUCCAGAUAUGCUAUAUCUUCAACAAUGUACUUUUUCUCUUUAGAUGGAGUUGAUAAAAAAUGUCAGUACUGCUGAGCAGCCAUAUUUAUUUACACGACAUGUUCAUUUUCUCAACUUCUCAAGGUAAGAUGAUUUUCACAGAAUUAUAGAAUGCCAUUUUUUAAUGCUUUGACUAUUACAAAAUAUAUGCUAUGAAGUAUUUUUUUUUUUGUUUAGCUUAUUAUUUGCGUUAUUGCCUCAUCAGUAGAAUCUGUUCAAUCCUUGGGAUAAAAUGAGUACCACUAAAUUGGGUAAUAGUAACAACCCCUGAAUGUUGAGCUAUGGUAACUUGAACGGUACUUGAAAACCAGAGUAAUUUGAAUGUACAUUUCCUGGUUAAAUACAUUAUCAUUAUUAUUUAAAGCUCAGUAAUAAGCUUGCUUUAAAAAUGAACUCCAGUUAAAAUAUGGUUACGUCUAUUUAUAUAUGGUUAUUAUUUCAUAUAGUCAGCUUCGGUAUAAUUCUAGUUUGAGGAUGUCUGAUUCGGUAAUAUGGGUUACCAGUGAGUAUAGAUGGAGUUAAUAGCCGUGGGAUUUUUUGGCUAUUUAAACCCAGAGACAGAUUGUGUGGUGAGCCUCUGAUGAAGUGACGUUGCCAGUCUAGAAACGUGUAAGGCGAUCUUACCUCACAGAACUCUGUUCGAAAGGAGAGCUGAAAUGGAAUGCAGGAGUGGCAUCCUGGUGGAACACACAUGGCGGUCUAGGACUAACAUCUAUACAGUACUUGCCCUAACUUUGUUUCAAGCUGCCUAAAGGAAGGCAGAGGGGAUCAAGUGUAUUUACCACUUGGAUCCAGUACUCCUAUGUAUCUACUAACAUGCCUCUUAUUCCGGAGAGUCUUUAAGUUUUUUUAACUGUGUGUCAAGUUUAAUAAAGGGCUAACAGAGAUCACUAUGUCUCUGCUUUUAUUUCCCUUUUAGAUUGUAGACAUCUCCAUUAAAAGAGACCUAUUUCUAUAGUACAUUAGUACAUUAUUUCUUAUACAUAAGAUUAUAAUACCAGUGUUAGAUUGUUUUAGCCCCCACUGUAUGGUAGCAGGGGUUUAACACCUACAAGCUGAUAAAUUUUGUUACACUUUUGUCUCAUUUGUUUCAUUUAUGUUACACAUUUCAUUGACCUUUAUUCAACUGUAACCACAGACUGUUAUUGAAUUUUGUUUCUAUUUUUUGGCGAACUGAUAUCACUACUUAGUAGACUUUGGACCUUUUAUCAGUGUGUUUUGAGGCAGCUCUAUUCCUGUCUAUCUCAAUACUAUCUUUAAAUGCAGUAUCUCUUUUAUUUUUUAUUUUAUUUUGUGCAGAAGUUAUCCUUUAUAUUUGAAGUGUUUUUCCCACUCCACUUCUCCUGGUAUGCUUAGGGUUAAUUACCCUUAAGUAUUUCACAUUUAAAAAUAUGUUUGUUUAACCCCUUAAGGACUGAGCCAAAUGUACACAUUUUGAUCAAAAUAAAACGUAAACAAAACUUGGAAUUUGACUAUAUGUCAGUUCAACCGUAAUUGACCUCUUUCAUAUGAAGUGCACCUACACUUAUUAUAUAUCAUUUAAUUCAGGAGAAAUAGGGCUUUCAUUUAACAUCAAAUAUUUAGCUACGAAACAUAAUUUAAUAUGAAUAUUUUUUUUUAGUUCUGCAUGACAUUUUAACUGUAAAUGUCAUAAUACUUUUAGCUUUUACUCCAAUAAAAUACACAUAUUUGUAUUCAGCGAUGUCUCACGUGUAAAACAGUACCCCCUAUGCACAGGUUUUAUGGAUUGGGAAGUAUAUAGCAUUUUACAUUUUUCAGUUUUUUCACAUUGAAAUUCGCCAGAUUGGUUACGUUGCCUUUGAGACCGUAUGGUAGCCCAGAAAUGAGAAUUACCCCCAUGAUGGCAUGCCAUUUGCAAUAGUAGACAACCCAAGGUAUUGCAAAUGGAGUAUGUCCAGUCUUUUUUAGUAGCCACUUAGUCACAAACACUGGCCAAAGUUAGCAUUAAUAGUUGUUUGUGUGUAAAAAAUGCAAAAAACUAAUUUGAACGCCAAUUUUGGCAAGUGUUUGUGACUACUAAAAAAGACUGGACAUACCCCAUUGGCAAUACAUUGGGUUGUCUACUUUUGCAAAUGGUAUGCCAUCAUGGGGGUAAUUCUCAUUCCUGGGCUACCAUAUGCUCUCAAAAACAACAUAACCAAUCUGGCGAAUUUCAAUGUGAAAAAACUGAAACACAAGCCUUAUAUCUGACUCUGUAACUUUUGAAAACACCAUAAAACCUGUACAUGAGGGUCAGUGUUAUACUCCGGAGACUUCGCUGAAUACAAAUAUUAGUGUUUCAAAACAGUAAAACGUAUCACAACAAUUGUAUCAUCAGUGUAAGUGCCGUUUGUGUGUGAAAAAUGCCAAAACUUAUUUUUUACUGAUUAUAUCAUCGUUGUAAUACAGUUUACUGUUUUGAAACACUAAUAUUUGUGUUCAGCGAAGUCUCCCGAGCAGUGGCGUACACAUGACCCAUGGGGCCCCGGUGCGAAAAUUGAUCCGUGGGCCCCCCCCCCGCGCGGGCCGGGCCGCAACACAUGGCGGUGGGCACCUGGUCGCAGGGGUUACAGGGCUGUGACCCCUGCGACCGCGGUAUGUACGCCAGUGCAUGCAGAUGCACACACACUUAAAGGACCACUCUAGGCACCCAGACCACUUCAGCUUAAUGAAGUGGUCUGGGUGCCAGGUCGAGCUAGGGUUAACACAUUUUUUCAUAAACAUAGCAGUUUCAGAGAAACUGCUGUGUUUAUGAAUGGGUUAAGCCUUCCCCUAUUUCCUCUAGUGGCUGUCCCAUUGACAGCCGCUAGAGGCGCUUGCGUGCUUCUCACUGUGAUUUUCACAGUGAGAGCACGCCAGCGUCCAUAGGAAAGCAUUAUGAAUGCUGAAUGCACAGCUUGCCGCAUGCCAUAUAGCCACGGGAGGAGAAGAGGAGGAUCGGAGGAGGGAGCUCCAGCCGUGGAAAAGGUAAGUUUUACCCCUUCCAGAGCCGGGCGGGAGGGUCCCUGAGGGUGGGGCAAUCAGGGUACUAUAGUGCCAGGACAGUAUGUUUUCCUGGCACUAUAGUGUCCUUUAAAGGACCACUACAGACAAUCAGAUCACAUCAGCUCAAUGAAGUUGUCUGGGUUCAGGUCCCUCUAGUUUUAACCCUGCAGCUGAAAACAUAGCAGUUUCAGAGAAACUGCUAUGUUUCACUGAGGGUUAAUCCAGCCUCUAGUGGCUGUCUCACGGACAGCCGCUAGAGGAGCACACUGAACGUCCAUAGGAAAGCAUUGAGUAAUGCUUUCCUAUGGGCGGUUUGAAUGCGUGCGCGGUCGCAUUCGGAGCUGAGAGGCUGAGGGAUCCUCAGCGCCAAGGGAGUCCGGCGCUGGAGAAAGGUAAGUGCUGAAGACACACACACUCUCACUUACAGACGCAUACACACUAGCUAACAGACACACACAUUUACUGACAGAGACACAGUCAGCGACAGACAUACAUACACACUCACUUACAAAACAUACACUCUCAUUGACAAACACACACUCACUAACAGACAUCAAACAGACUCACUAACACACACACACUCAGUAAGACACACACAGUAACACACUCACUGACACUCACUAGCAGACACACACACUAACACUCACUAGCAGACACACUCACUCUAACACACACUAACACUCACUCUAACACUCACACACACUACACACACACACUAACACUCACACUAACACUCACACACACUCUAACACUCACUCUCACACACACUCACACUAACACUCACACACACUAACACUCACUCUAACAACACUCACACUAACACUCACACAUGAUUUAUUUUUAUUUUUUUAAUAUAAUCCCCCCAGCCUCCUUACCUCUUGGAGUGCUGGGGGGGAUUAUUCCCUGGGGUCCAGUGGGGCUCCUGGGCGGGUGGCCGGUCGGGCAGGCAGGCAGGCGGGCGCGCGAGGGAGCACUCAGUGCUUCCUCUUCAGCUCCCUCGCGCGCCGCGUAGGGAUGCCGGCGCCGGAAGAUGACGUCAUCUUCUGGCUCCGGUAUCAUUGCGGUGCGCGAGGGAGCUGAAGAGGAAGCACUGAGUGCUCCCUCGCGCGCCCGCCUGCCUGCCCGACCGGCCACCCGGGGUCAGCAGGGCCAGCCUCAGGGGGGCCCUGGGGUGGUCGGCUCCUGGGCCCCCCAGGGGAAGAGGCUGGCCCUGGGCGUACAUACCGGGUCGCAGGGGCGGCCGGGCCCCCUGGUGGGCCGGGCCCGGUCGCAGUCGCGACCCCUGCGACCCUGGUAUGUACGCCAGUGCUCCCGAGUACAAGAGUAGCCCCCAUGUACAGGUUUUAUGGUGUCUUGGAAAGUUACAGGAUUAAGUAUAGUGCUAGCAAAUUAAAGUCUCUCGACUUUCUUUCAGGCAGGUCCUGCAAAUUGUAAUUAAUAAAAUGUCUUAAAUAUGUAAAAAUAUUGCAUAAAUAUAUACGUAGAAUUAAAAUAUAUAUAUAUAUCUAUAUAUAUAUAUAUAAUUUUGAAAAUUAUUUUUAUUUAUAUAUAGGUAUAUAUAUAUAUAUAUAUAUAUAUAUAUAUAUAGUGAUACAUACAUACAUAUAUAUAUUUAUAUAUAGAUAUAUAUAUAUAUAGAUAUAUUAUUUUGCUCUAAGUGUAUUUUGAUAUCAAUAUAAAUAUAUAUUAGUAUCAAAAUACAGUUAGAACGAAAUUAUACAUAUAUAUUUUGUAGGUCUUUAUUUUUAAUUUUUUAAUUUUUUAUUUUUAACGUAUUUAUAUAUUUAAUUAUAUUAUAUAUAUAUAUAUAUAUUUAUAAAAUUAUAUAUAUUUAUUCUCAUUCUACGUGUAUUUUAAUAUUAAUAUAUAUAUAUAUAUAUAUAGUAAAAUAUACUUAGUGUAUGUGUAUGUAUGGGUAUAUAUAUAUUUUUUUAGAUCAUAUACAUUAUAUAUAUAUAAUCUAAGUAUAUAUUAUUUAAUUUUAAACUUUUUAAAUUGUUUUAAAACUUUAUUUAACUUUAUUUCAGGCAGCAUGGGGACUACCUGUCAUUCCAGGCCCUCCACCUGCUGGCACUGCUAUGGACAGCUAUUCCAUCCAUGUGAUUGUGAGGUCCUCGCAAGGACCUCGAGAUCACAUGGCCCAGAAGGACCGGAUCAGACGCAGGGGUUAAAUAAGAUGGGGCAACUGUGGGUUAGACUAUAAAACAAACAACAUUUAUUAAGGGGACACUAUAGACACCAAGAUAACCUCAGCUUAUUGAAGUGGUCUGGGGGCAGUGUCCCCAUUGCAACUCUAAGUUUGCCUCCAGUGGCACGUCCUGCAUCCAAAUGGACCUUUAGUCCGGUAAAUGACGCUGGACAUCCAGCGUCGGAAGCACAGAGCAGUUCUGUAUCUCCCAUAGAGCCAGUGUCUUCAGAUUACUCUAUGUCUCACUGUUUGUGCUGUGCUUUUUGUGGACUGGGAACAAACCAAGAACAUCAUGAUAGGGAUAGACUGUCGUGCCUAACCCAGGGUUGUUUGGAGGUAUAUUACUUGAGUAGCUAUUGAUCACACCUUCUUCUCGUUGCAAUUUCAGAAUUAAACUGAAAAAAACUUUAAUCCAUUUAAAGGAACACUUAUAGGGUCAGGAACAAAAACAUCUAUUCCUGACCCUAUAGUGUUAAACCACAAUUUAGGUGGCUCUCCCCCCCUCCUUUAAACUCUUAGAAGGUAAGAAAACUUACCGUAUUUCCAGCCCCCUUCUGCCCCUAUCCGCCUCCUUGGCUGACAUCAUCAGUAUUGAUCAACUCAGAAAAUCCAAUGCUUUCCCAUAGGAAUCAAUGCAUCUUUAUGGGGAAAUUUCAGCAUCUCCAUGCAGAGCAUGAAGCUCUGACCCAGAAAGCACCUCUAGUUGUCUGAGGAGUGGCCACUAGAGGUGUCCCUAGGGAGCAAUGUAAACACGGCCUGCAGGGACAGACUAUACUUUUUUAAAUUAAAUCUUGAUUGAGUUUUUUCAAUAUAACAAAUAUAAAUAUACAAAAUACAUUCAUAAAACAUACUUAUGAAUACAACAAACAUUAGACAUAAUGACAAACAUCUUUCAAACCUUGUGGGAAAUGUACAGGGCUGGAUCGGGCUUUUAGCCUCUAUGUAAUUUUUUUAUUUAUUUUAUUUUUUCCUUUUAAUAAAUCUAAAGUGCUUGAGCUACUCAGAGUUGUUAAGAGAUCUAAUUAAAUGCAGACAUUUUUGACCCAAAAUAAAUUUAUUUAUGUUAUCUCUCCUCCUGUAUAAGCCCAUUUCACUGUUGAUUUGCAAAGUUAGCUGAUUUUCCCAUUGGGUAUAACCAAUUUCUGUUGCCGUUUAAUAAACGUUAAUGAUAUUUUAUUACCUAUUUCAAUACAGAAAAAAUUUAAUUGCAGCUACAUUCCAAUGCUUAAUAAAUGCACAGUUCUUAAAAAGACACUUAGGCACUAGAACCCCUUCAUGUCAUGGAAGUAAUUAUGGCACCUGUAGUCUCCAGACACUAUCCAACUGUUCAGUGUUAAACCAUUUCCACCAGUUUAACUCUGAAUGAGGGUCCCCAGGCACUCAUGGCUCCAAUGUAAUCAGUUUAAUUAUAAACAUCUACAACACCAAACAUGAUGUAUUCUAUGUUGUCCUUAAAUGUCUUAAAAUGUAGAGUAAAAAUAUUCAGAAUGUUUGAAUGUGUAUAUAAAAAUAGGCACAUGGUGUCCAUUUUUACAGCGCUGGCUUUUUCUAAAUUAAAAUGUGUCUGAUUUCCUUCCGAAUGCACAGUCAUGGUCAGCUUACAGUACAUAAUUCACCUUUAAGUCCCAUGCAUACUCGAGUAAUCCUUUGCAUAUAUUUCCAAGAAUAAGUGUAUUUAAUACUGUUUUCUAUUUUGUUAGAAUAAUCCCCCUGUAUUUAUGGAUCUCAGUGUAUCCUUUUGUAUUAAAAUGCUAAUCCUUCACUUUGCUAUUGCUAUCGAGAUGAACAAAGAAUUAUUUUGUAGGCAAAAAGAUAAGUGGAGACGAUGCACUCAAGGAUAGUUUUCAGUCAUAUAGCUGUUUGUGCAUGCAGGAUACUGAAAAACCAGAUUGACAUUUUAAUAUUAAAUAAAAUUAUGAGUGAGACAUACAAUGAGUUUGGCAGUCACAAAUCUUGCAGUGAAAGCUCAAAAGCAGAAAUAGGUUAGAGCCGGGAGGGCUGCCAUGCACAUGGCUUACAAUAUAGAAUCGAGUUAUUGCCUUCAGAAUGAAUUGGUCACUCAAACAUUUAAGACAAUUGUAGCACAAACCAUAGCAGUGGUGUGGUACUUCACCCCAGUUGUUGGCUAAAAGAAGUGAAUAAAGACAGUGAUGUCUUCAACAUUCAUAUUUGGGGGGAGGAGGGAGGGGUGCAUGAGGGGCCAGUGCCAAAAGUAAGGGGGCAAAUAUAAAACAUGUGUGUGUAUAUAUAAUUAUAUAUUUUUUUCAUUGACACUUAAAUUAACUUUUUAAUAUGAUAUGCAAACUUUUUCACAAGGAAUAAACAUUUUAUUGGAAAAAAUUUAUUUCUUGUUUUCAUUCCCUUCUUCAGCACCCACAUUAUUGCAAAAAUUGGACUUGCUCUUGCACCCAUACUGCUCAGACAGGACUUGCACCUGCACACUGCACCAUUAUUAUUUCUAAAUAGGGAAAUUGCAUUUUAAACAGAAUUGGAAAAUACACUGUUCAUAUCCUGGACACACAUAAAAAGGACAUGGGGCUUUAUAUUUGCCCCUCAUGCAUAACCUGCCUGCUGUUUGGAAACAGAGAAGGCACUGCCACACCGGCAAGCUGUUUGGGGACAUAGAUAGCACUGGCAAACUGAGAACAGAGAGGACACAGGACUAAAAGUCUCUCUGUCCCAUUUGCAUUCCCCACAUCAAUUAGGGUAGUGUGGUCUGCAUGGGGGGAACACAGCAAUCUCACUAAAUGACUUGAAGUGUUUAAAAAUGGAUGAUGAUGGGCAUUUUAAAAACAUAAAUCUCAUCUCCACUCUUUUAUUUUGUUUUUUAAUGAUGCUCAUCAUCCAUCUUUUAACUCUCCAAGUCAUUCAGUCACACUAGCAUUAUUCACCCCAACCUAUUCAGGCCACACUCACUUCAACAAUUGAUGUGGGUGGGGGACAAUGUUAAUGUGACUGAAUGACUUGGAAAGUUAAAAAUGUAUGAUGGGCCUUAUUAUAAAAACCUGUCAUUGAACCUGUCGGUUUUAACCUGUCAUUAUUCAAUACUCCAGAUAUUUCUGGUUUGGAACUGUUCACACCAAUAAAGAAAAUGGCUACUAUUCCAUUAUCCCAACAAAGAAAAUGGCUGCUGUGCAAGCUGCAAUAGACUGCCAUAACAAUGUAAAAUUCAUUAUAUGCAGUCUACCAUGACAAUACAAAACUCAUCUCUCCAUGGAUGAAUUAAUAACCUUAAUAAUAUGAAGAAAUGCAUUUUAUAUUGUCAUAGCAGACUGCAUGUUAUGAAUUUUAAAUUGUCAUGUCAUGGCAUUCUAAUGCAACUUUGCAACAUACAUUGUGCACAGUAGCCAUUUUCUUUAUUGACGUGAACAGUUUCAAAUCAGAAAUACCUGGGUUACUGAAUAAUUAAUAAUAAAAGCCCCUGGUCUUCUUGCCUCCAAGCAACGCCCCGGUAAGAGCUAAAAAUCUUUAAAGUAAACAACUAUACUGUAAAAAUUAAACCUUUUUCAUUGAGGCUAUGUGUGUCGCGGCAAGGGGAGAUGUGGCAAGAGCUGCAAAAACAAAGUGUUUUAACUCCUAAACUGCAGGUGCAUGAUUUAAACACCAAAGCUUAUUCAUUAAUCUUAAAGGUAUCCUAUAGUGACAGGAAAACAAACCUGUUUUCCUGGCACUAUAGGGUUAUUAGGUCGACCCCUCCCACAGAGCUGAAGGGGUUAACCACUUAACUGAAUAAGUGUGAAAUGAAUCCAGCGGCGUCGGUGGGUGAGACUCUCACCUCGCGGCUGUCAGUUCCCUAAAGAUUAAAGCAGUGCUUACUCGCGGCGCCGGCUGCAUGUUAUUUUGUUAUGACAACUUCAGGCAGCCUGCAUGCGCAGCGAGCCAUAACUUUAUUUUAAAUUGGGGGGGGGGAAUGGCACAAGAGGGGGUACGGCCUGAUCUAGAGAGCCACUGAAUAAAGAUAGCCACAGUUUGUACCCCUAAUCCUCUGACUGAUACUUUCAAGCACAUUUUUAUUAACUGUAAAAAGUAAAACAUUCAGCUAUGUUUUUCUAUAGUUUUGGUGUAAAUUAUUUUAUAUAUAUAUAUAUAUAUAUAUAUAUUUUUUUUUUUCCAAUAGUGAUGACUGCACUCCUCGGACUUGUUAAAAAUCAAAUGCUGCUUUAUUUAGAAAUUCAUUAAAAAGAUCAACGUUUCAGCCCCAUAAUGGGCUUUCCUCAGGAUCAAAAAAUCACAUACAAUAAACAUAUACACACUGAGCUAACUUAUAUACCAUAGAUAAAAUAAAUCAAGUACUCACCACAGCUGUUGUCACUUCCCGGCUGGCGUCCCUCUGCCAACAGAGCGAAUGCGCAACACUAACCAAUCGGAGCCGCUCUGCGGCAUGAUGCAAGACGCAUCACCGCGGCAACCCAAAUACACAUUGCCGCGUAGCCAUGGUGAACGGUGGACGCCGGGCGGGCUGUUCACUAACGCACCGAUCCACUUAGAAUCGAUCGGUGCGCAACAGCUGUAGGGGAGAAAAAAAUGGAAAGAAUGCCUUAUAAAACCAUGUUCUUAAUCAGAUAAUAUAUACGUACAGAUUAUCAUACUCCACCAUAUCUAUAUCGUUCACUAUCGAAGCAUAAUAUCUACUCUAUUCAUAGUACAAUAGAUAAUGUUACCAAUAAAAAGGCCAACUGUAUCCUAUACUAUCACUUAGCAAAAAAUAUUCAAUGUGCAAAAGUAAUGUAUACCUCAGGUGAAAUUAUUUGUUAUUAUAAUAAUAAAGUGCUAGUGCAAUAUUAAUAACUAAACUAUUAUUUAUGUACAGUUUUUUGUAAAUAUGUGGUCAAUAGAAAUUGUUUUAAAUGUGUAGACACUGUGAAGAUAAUAAAGUGCUGCAUGUAUUAAUUAAUAAUCACUAGAAGUUAAUAAAAAUUAAUAAAAAAGUGGUAAUCUUUACCUUAAAGUGCAAUGUGCUAACAAAAUAUCUCAAAAUAGAGAUGGUUAAAGGGUGAUGUCUCAAAUUUGAAUAGCCAAAAAGUGAAUGGUGCUCUAUUACAGGUAUCAUGGUAGACUAUAUCUUUAUACAGUAUAUAGUUUAUACAGUAUAAUAUUUAAAAGUGCAUGUAGUGGAGUAGUGGCAACCUAUAUAUCUAUAAAAAGAACACCGUCUAAAUCCCAAUGCAAUAAAUCAGAAGAAUAAAAUAAAAUGAUGACAUGCAUAGUUGUACAAUUUUUCACAAGCGGGUUUAGAGUAAUACAUUAUAAGUAAUAAAAAUGAAUGGACAAGCAAGUUCAUUGAGACCCCUAGGGGACACCGUGUUCAACUCAUGUAUCCAAUAAGCCUCCCGAUUGAGGAGUGCUUUACCACUGUCACCUCCCAGUCUAGAUAGAGGAAUAAAGUCUAUUGCUGUAAAUUUCAAAGAAGAAAGAGGAUGUUGUUUGGCCAAAAAAUGUUUCGCAACGUGCUUAUCCGUAAUACCAUCCCUGUACGCCAGACGUAUACUGGAACGAUGUCCUCGUAUUCUUUCACAUAGCGGAGUUUCCGUUUUUCCCACGUAAUUGAGUCCACAAGGACAUGUUAACUUAUAUAUCACGAAUAGUGUUUUACACGUGAUGGUGUAUCUAGUUUCAUAUCGUUUGUUAGUGUGCGGGUGAUUGAAAAAUUUAGCUUGUACCAUAUGUCCAUACGUGUGGACAUAUGGUACAAGCUAAAUUUUUCAAUCACCCGCACACUAACAAAUUAUAUUAUAUUUAUUUUAUUCUUCUGAUUUAUUGCAUUGGGAUUUAGACGGUGUUCUUUUUAUAGAUAUAUAGGUUGCCACUACUUCACUAUAUGAACUUUUAAAUAUUAAUAUACUGUAUAAAGAUAUAGUCUACCAUGAUACCUGUAAUAGAGCACCAUUCACUUUUUGGCUAUUCAAAUUUGAGACAUCACCCUUUAUCCAUCUCUAUUUUGAGAUAUUUUGUUAGCACAUGUUGCACUUUAAGGUAAAGAUUACCACUUUUUAAUAAAUUUUUUAUUAACUUCUAGUGAUUAUUAAUUAAUACCAGCAGCACUUUAUUAUCUUCACAGUGUCUACACAUGUAAAACAAUUUCUAUUGACCACAUAUUUAUAAAAAAACUGUACAUAAAUAAUAGUUUAGUUAUUAAUAUUGCACUAGCACUUUAUUAUUAUAAUAACAAAUAAUUUCACCUGAGGUAUACAUUACUUUUGCACAUUGAAUAUUUUUUGCUAAGUGAUAGUAUAGGAUACAGUUGGCCUUUUUAUUGGUAACAUUAACUAUUGUACUAUGAAUAGAGUAGAUAUUAUGCUUGGAUAGUGAACGAUAUAGAUAUGGUGGAGUAUGAUAAUCUGUACGUAUAUUUGGGUUGCCGCGGUGAUGCGUCUUGCGUCAUGCUGCAGUGCGGCUCCGAUUGGUUAGUGUUGCGCAUGCGCUCUGCUGGCAGAGGGACGCCGGCCAUGAAGUGACAACAGCUGUGGUGAGUACUUGAUUUAUUUUAUCUAUGGUAUAUAAGUUGGCUCAGUGUGUAUAUGUUUAUUGUAUGUGAUUUUUUGAUCCUGAGGAAAGCCCAUUAUGGGGCUGAAACGUUGAUCUUUUUAAUGAAUUUCUAAAUAAAGCAGCAUUUGAUUUUUAACAAGUCCGAGGAGUGCAGUCAUCACUAUUGGAAAAUCUAUACAUUUCAGCCAGCUGACUUUGGCACCUGGCAAUAAAGAGGACAUAAAGCGUGAGUGCAAGGAAUUCUUUUGUUUAUAUAUAUAUAUAUAUAUAUAUAUAUAUAUAUAUAUCCCUCAGUGUCAGUGACAUGCAUUGUUCCCUCAGGUUGUGUUUACUGAAUUGUUCAUACUUGGCUUUCUUGACAGAAUAUAAAUACAGUCACCAGAGAUGCUUAGUAGUACCGUUUAAUGCUUUGGGUAGUUUUCCUGAGGAUGCAUUCAUUUAUUAAUCAAUUAAUUUCAUCUUGUACACUCACCUUACUCAAGGCUGACAAUAUUGUUAUCUGUUUACUGACAACUUAAAAGCUAACUCGACAAAUAAUUAAAUUAAUAAAACAUGAGGCAAGCAUAUCAUAAUCAUGUCCAAUACAAGUAGGGAACAUCAAGCAGACACCGUUUGUUCUUGUGAUGUCUGAGCACCCACUGUCAGAGGCGGCUCUAGACGUUAUGAAGCCUUAGGCGAAACUCAAAAAUGAGGCCCCACUAACAAAAAAGUUGCAAUACAUGCACACUGUCACAUAUGCACAUUGAUGCACAGUUUACAUGUGUAUGUGCCUGAGAGUGUGUCUAACAGAGAGUAUCCUUGUGUGUGUGUGAAUGUAUGUCUCUGUGACAGGCCCGGACUGGCCAUCGGGCAUACCGGGCAAAUGCCCGGUGGGCUGCGAUGGCCGUGGGGCCGAGGCCGGCAGGGGAGAUCACAGGCAACGCUCAGAUCUCGCGAGAGUUCACUCUUACCACUGACCACCAGGGAAGGCAGCACGGCACCCUCCUCCAUGGAAAUCCGCCCCUCUCCCCCCAGGCUAAAGGUAAGAAGGGAGAGGGGGAUAUAACUUUUUUUUUUUAAUUAUUAAUAAAAAAUAUAUUAAAAUAAAUUCACACUCACACUAACAGCCCCCUCACACACACAGCAGCCCCCUCACACACACAGCAACCCCAGACACACACAGCACCCCCAGACACACAAAGCACCCUCAGACACACACAGCACCCUCACUCUCACACAGCACCCUCAGACGCACACAACACCCUCAGACGCACACAGCUUCCUCAUACAGACAGCACCCUCGCUCACACAGCACACUCCCACACAUAUACAGCACACACACAUAUAUAUAAUAUAUAAAAUAACCCUCAGUGAGUUAACAGACAAAGAAAAUUAGAAACCUAGAAUGUGACGACAGAUAAAGACACCCUCACACACACACACAGACACACACUGCGCACCUCACACAUACAAAACGUCCAAUUAUAUAUAUAUAUAUAUAUAUAUAUAUACAUACAUAUAUACACACACACUACAGCACCCCUCACACUGCACCACUACACACAUUACGCUCCAGAUACACGCUAGAUCCCUUACCCUAUAUGCACUCUUAAUCCUCUACACACACACACAAACACACAAUCUUCUAUACACACUCUGGAUCCUUUACACACUAGAUCUCCUACACACACACUGCACCCCCAGACACACAAAGCACCCUCAGACACACACAGCACCCUCAGACACACACAGCACCCUCACUCUCACACAGCACCCUCACUCUCACACAGCACCCUCAGACGCACACAACACCCUCAGACGCACACAGCUCCCUCAGACAGAGAGCACUCUCGCUCACACAGCACACUCCCACACAUAUACAGCACACACACAUAUAUAUAAUAUAUAAAAUAACCCUCAGUGAGUUAACAGACAAAGAAAAUUAGAAACCUAGAAUGUGACGACAGAUAAAGACACCCUCACACACACACACAGACACACACUGCGCACCUCACACAUACAAUACUUGUCUUCAACGAUCCCACGUAUGUAAACACAUAUAUCAUUACCUAUUGGCUCUACCACAUUUCGAAACGAGUCAACACGCACCAACAGUAGAGAUAACAUACUAUCCUACCCACAACAAAUGGUGUCCAGUUGCGGUCCUAGAUUCCUACCUUCAAAAAUCCUUCAAGGAAUUAAAUACCGUAAUGCAUUUAAGGAAAUGUCUGGUUAAUUUGUAUAUAUUGUUGACUGUAUUAAAUCUUUGAUUAUUCUUUUUGCCCUCUUUAUUUACAGGCCUACCGUAUCGUCGGUCUCGGCACACCACAACCGACUUGCUCCCUUUAUACUAUCCUACGCUUAUGCUGGAACCUUACUCCAUAUACGGCUAUUUGCCCCGAACACAAGUUUUAAGGCCAUUUGGCCUGUAUUUGUGGGAGGGGCUUAAAUUAAUUCACUCCCCUAUAUAAGGGACACCCCUUACCUGACUCAUAUCGCUUGAGGUCAGCAUCAGAAUGACCCUCCCACCCACUCCUCAUUUCAACACUUUCUCUUUUCUUUCCAUUUACUUUACUUACUUACUCCUUGGUGGGCCCUCUUUAUUUACAGGCCUACCAUAUCGUCGGUCUUGGCACACCACAACCGACUUGCUCCCUUUAUACUAUCCUACGCUUAUGCUGGAACCUUACUCCAUAUACGGCUAUUUGCCCCGAACACAAAUAUAUAUAUAUAUACACACACACUACAGCACCCCUCACACUGCACCACUACACACAUUACGCUCCAGAUACACGCUAGGUCCCUUACCCUAUAUGCACUCUUAAUCCUCUACACACACACACAAACACACAAUCUUCUAUACACACUCUGGAUCCUUUACAUACUAGAUCUCCUACACACACACUGCACCACCUGCACACACACACUACAUUCCUUGUAAGCAAACACAUACAACAUUCUCUAAACACACCCUCUCUACAACCUCUACACACACUACGUCACCUAUACGCACACACUACAGCCCGUUUGCACACACUCGCUACAUCCCCUAUAACACUAUGCCCCUAUACACACACUCUCUACAGCCCCUAGCCACACAUAUUACACCACAAACACAAAUUAAAUUGUCCUAUACACAAUACCACACAACACUCUACACACAAGCAAUCCCACAAGCAGGCUCCAAACACAUGCACCAUACACUUUCCUGGCCCUUUUGUCCUCUGGUAUCCCACUUGUGGAGACACCAGAGACAAUUUAAAAGCAAACACAGCACAAGCAUGUUAUUAAAUUUGCUUGCGCUGCACAGAACAAAUACAGGGCCUUUUUCUAAUGCUAGAGCUCUUCAGUGGGGCUCUGCGCAUUGAACCAACAUGCUCACUUUGAGAGGGGGCAUGCUUGUCAUUAGUGAUGACAAAACACACCCUCUGUGGCCCCCCGCUCUGAUUGAAAAAUGCCUGGGCCUAAUUUUUGUCCCAGUCCGGCUCUGCUCUGUGAGCAUGUUUGCGUUUUUGUCUGUGAGCAUGUAUGCAUAUGGGGUAGCUGCUUGAAGUGUGUUGUGUGUAUGGGGGUCUGCCUGUAGCCUUUGUGCAUUGUGUUUAUGGCAAAGCUAUGUUUCUUGACUCUGUGUGUACGAUGAAUGUCUUCAGCUGGUGACUGUGACAAGGUGAGUAAAGGGGUACCAGUGGCAGGGAGAACGUGACAGGACGAAGGGGGUAAAUGGAAAUGGGGGAGGAGGGUUGUGAGAGAGAAUGAGGGACAGGGAGUAUGACAUGCUUUGAUGAGGGAGUGCAACAGGGCGAGUGGAGGUAAGUGUGUCAGGACAAUUGUGGCAUGGUAGGAGGGACGAGGGUGACAGGAUUAAGGGGGGUUAAUGUGACAGGGUGAGUGUGGCAGAGUGAGGGUAGGUGAGAUUAACAGGAUUAGGAGUGGUUAAUGUGAGUGUGGAUGCAUGAAGAGGCUCACAGUGUGGGGUGUGAUGACAGUGUAGGGAGGGGUGACAGUGUGAUGGGAUGCUAACAGUGUGUCUGGGGAGGCUGUGUGUGUGAGGGGGGUGAUGGUGUGAGGGAGGGAGAGAUGAGGGAGAGGCGGGUGAUGGUGAGAGGGGGUGAUGGUGAGUGGGAGAUGGUUACAGGGGGUGAUGGUGACAGGGAGAGGGAGGUGAUGGUGUGGGGGUGAUGGUGAGAGGUAGUUGAUGUUGAGGGAGGGUGCUUAAUGUUGAUGGUGAGGGGGGUUGAUGGUGAGGGUGAGGUGGGUGAUGUGAGAGGGAUGGGAUGAUGGUGAGGGGGUAAUGCUGAGGGUGGUGAGGAGGGUGAUAGUGAGGGGGGUGAUGCUGAGGAAGGGGGUGAUGGUGAAGGGGGUGAUGCUGGGGGUGGUGAGAGGGGUGUGAUGGUGAGGGGGUUGAUGCUGAGAAGGGGUGGUGGGGGGUAUGGUGAUGGGAGGGAUGUUGGGGUGGUGGGGGUGAUGCUGAGGGUGGUUGGAGGUUGAUGCUGAGAGUGGUGAGAGGGGGUGAUGCUAAAGGGGGGUUAUAGUGAGGGGGUGAAAGUGAAGGGGGUGAUGUUGAGGGAGGGGGGUGAUGUGAAAAAGAGGGGGUCUGAUGGGAUGAGGGGGGAGACAACAUACCAUUUCUUCCCUGGUGGUCCAGUGGGCUCCUUGGUGGUUCAGUGUGGGCUGCCUGGUGGUCCGGUGGCCAUCGUUUCCGGUCUGCAGCUCCGCAGAGCUGCAGACCAUGUAAUCUCGCAAGACCAUCAGAGCGUUGCUGUGGUAACCCGCGGCAAGGCUCUGAUUAGCCAGCUCUCAGCGAGACACAUGGUCUGCAGCUCUGCUCACUGCGGAGCUGCAGACCAGUGUCUGAUGGCUGGCCGGGCAGCCAGGAGGGGCCUCGCACCCGGCAGCAUACCGGGCAAGCCGUCGGGUCCCCUCCUGGUGUCAGGUCCUCGGUCACUGACCGAGGACCCGACACAGUCUGCCCACAGGCGGUUUAGGCGGCCAUGAGGCCCCAGCCAGAGUGAGUCCUUAGGCAGCCGCCCAAACCCCCUAAUUAUAGAGCCGCCUCUGGAUGCAGUUUGUGUGUGUAGUGAAUGAUGUGUGUAGUGGCCAGGGGCUUGCGAGAGAGAUAGAGAGCUGGAAGCUGAAGAUAAUGUGUGCUGGGACCCAUCUUCACUAUACAGGCUGUCUGGGGCUCGCUGGGGCAGUGUUGGAACUAAUGUAGAGAGGACUCUGGUGCAAGAAUUUUUUUUUUGUUCCCCCUCUAGAAUUAUGGCUUUGUGAGCACAAUACAGUCAUGUGGUUGGGAUAAUUUGGCUAGAGAGACAGUAUGAUACAGUCUAGGAAACUAAUUUACCCUGGCAUGAGGGUUUGAUUUUUUUUUUUUAGAUGGAUUAUGUAAAUGAAAACCAUACCUCCGAAUAUGCUUGGAAAGCGGAGCGAGGUACACUAUAAAAGUAUAUAUGUUUUAGACAUUAAGUGUGUUCAUGCCGUUAACCAUAAAGAUAUGCUGUAUAUUAGUCAACGUUUGUAUAAAAGUACUUUAGUCCAAAUCUCUGUAUAUAGUUUGUAUUCCUCAGAUGGUUAAUGUAAUAUCGAUGUAUGCAGAUAUCUAAACUCCACAUUUGUAAGCCUGUUUGUGAUCUUGUUUGCAACCCUUUCGGUGAAACUCUGUAAACAAAUGUAUUUGUAUGUCCUAUUACAGUUUUCACUGUGUUUACUGUGCUUAUGGUUUCACAGUGCUCAAGGUGUUUAACCCCUUCAGACCGGAGGGCGUACUAUUACGCCCUCUAAUAGGCGGCUCUAAACGCCACCGGGCGUAAUAGUACGCCCUCCGGUCUUUCGGUACUUACCCGGUCGCGGUGGGGGGGACUCCCAGGGAGCCCCCCGCGGCACGUCCGUCCUCCAGGAAGCCCCCCGGCCAUGUUAGAGUGGGGUCCUAGCGAGGACCCCUCAAUCACAUGGCCGGGGAUAGCUGGCUUCUGCAUUGCCAGCAGGGGGGCUGCCUGUAAUUACAGGUGGUCCCCCUGCUGGCUGAAAAUAAAAGUAAAACAAAUAAAUGGUGUAAAAAAAAAAAUUAUAUAUACUUAGAUAUUAUAUAUAUAUAUAUAUGAUCUAAGUAUAUAUAUAUACACAUAUACAUACAAACAUGUACACCGUCUAGGUGUAUUUUACUAUUAAUAUAUAUAUAAUUAUAUAUAUUAAUAUCAAAUUACACGUAGACUGAUACUGAUUAAAUAUAUAUAUAAUUAUUGUUAUAUAUAUAUUUAUAUAUAAUAUAAAAAAAAUAAAAAUAUAAAUACGUUAAAAAAUAAAAUUAAAAAAAUAAUUAAAAAUAAAUAAUUAAAAAAUAUAUAGAUGUGUGUUAUUUCGUUCUAACUGUAUUGUGAAAUUAAUAUAUAUAUAUAUAUAUAUAUAUAUAUAUAUAUAAAAAUACACAUAGAAAGAAAUAAUAUAUAUAUAUAUAUAUAUANNNNNNNNNNNNNNNNNNNNNNNNNNNNNNNNNNNNNNNNNNNNNNNNNNNNNNNNNNNNNNNNNNNNNNNNNNNNNNNNNNNNNNNNNNNNNNNNNNNNCCUCUAGUUUUAACCCUGCAAUUUAGGGUUAAUCCAGCCUUUAGUCGCUGUCUCACUGACAGCCGCUAGAGGCGCUUCCGCGAUUCUCACUGUGAAAAUCACAGUGAGAAGACGCUGGACGUCCAUAGGAAAGCAUUGAGUAAUGCUUUCCUAUGGGCGGUUUGAAUGCGUGCGGCUUUUGCCAUGCAUGUGCAUUUGGAGCUGAGAGGCGGAUUGGGGCGGAGGGAUCCCCAGCACCAAGGAAGUCCGGCGCUGGAGAAAGGUAAGUGCUGAAGGGGUUUUAAACACACACACUCUCAUGAACAAACACAUACACACUAGCUAAUAGACACACACAUUUACUGACAGAGACACACUCUGCGACAUACAUACAUUGAAAGUCAUGUUUCAGUGUUGGCAGAUGACACAAAACUCUGUAAAAUAAUAAAAUGUGAGCAAGAUAUUACUUUGCUGCAGAGGCAUUUAGAUAGACUGGGGGACUGGGCACUAAAAUGGCAGAUGAAAUUUAAUGUUGAAGAAUACACAAGCAACGUAUACCCUUAAUGGAAGCGAAUUAGGGAUAACAACACACGAAAAGGACUUGGGAAUUGUUAUAGACCACAAACUAUGCAACAAUGUGCACUGUCAAUCAGCAGUGGCCAAGGCCAGUAAGGUAUUGUCAUGCCUGAAAAAGGGCAUUCAUUCUCGGGACGAGGAUAUCAUUUUGCCUCUUUAUAAAUCACUGGUAAGACCACAUAUUAAAUAUGCUGUGCAAUUUUGGGCACCUGUUCUAAAGAAGGAUAUUAUGGCACUAGAAAAAGUGCAGAGGCGGGCUACAAAAUUAAUAAAAGCAAUGGAACAUAUCAUCUAUGAAGAAAGGUUAACAAAUUUAAACCCAUAUCCACCUGAGAGGGGAUAUGAUAACAUUAUACAAAUAUAUUUGGGGCCAAUACAAACCAUUGUGUAGAAAUCUAUUCACAAACCGGACACGAGGUCAUGCGUUUAGACUGGAAAAAAGAAGAUUUCGUCUAAGGCAAAGGAAAGGUUUUUUUACUGUAAGAACAAUUAGGAUGUGGAAUUCUCCGCCUGAAGAAGUGGUUUUAUCAGAGUCCAUACAGAUGUUCAAACAGCUACUAGAUGCAUACUUGCAAAAACAGAAUAUUCAAGGAUAUAAUCUUUCAAUGUAGGGUAAUAACUGCUUGAUCCAAGGAUAAAUCUGACUGCCAUUCUGGGAUCAAGAAGGAAUUUUUUCCCUAGCUUGUUGCAAAACUGUGCUUCAAACUGGCCUUCUUUUGGAUCAACAGCAAAAAACAAAUGUGAGGAAGGCUGAACUUGAUGGGCGCGAGUCUCUUUUCAUCUAUGUAACUAUGUAACACUGACAGACAGACAGACACACAUACACACUCACAAAACAUACACACUCACUGACAAACACACACUCACUAACAGACAUCAAACAGACUCACUAACAGACACAUACAAACUGACACACUCAGUAACAGACACACAGUGACACACUCACUGACACACACACUCACUGACACAUAAACUAGCAGACACACACACUGACACAAAAACUAACACACACACACUCUAACACUAACACACACACACACACACAUGUUUCUUUAAAAUGUAAUCCUCCAGCCUCCUUACCUUUGGGAGAGCUGAGGGGAUUCCCUGGGGUACAGUGGCCGGUCACCGGGCGUGCGGGGUGGCUGUCUGUCUGUCUGGGUGGCUGGCUGUCUGUCUUUCUGGGUGGCUGGUAGGUUGUCUGGGUGGCUGGCUGGCUGGGUGGCUGGCUGGCUGGCUGACUGUCUGGGACAACUAGGAGCCAACAUACCGUAUAUACUUGAGUAUAAGACUCAUUACAAGCCCAGCGGUCCUGUUGGGGGCUGGCAGCGAGCUGUAACUUACCUUUCCUGCAGCUCCUGUCAGCUCCCUUCUCUCUCCUCUGGUCCAGUCAGUUCCCCUGUCAGCUUCCACUGUAAAUCUCGCGAGAGCCGCGGGGUCAGAGCGUUGCCACGGGUUACUGUGGCAACGCUCCACGCGGCACUCACACCGCGAGACUUACAGUGGUAGCUGACAGGGGAGCUGACCGGACCGAAGGAGAGAGAAGGGAGCUGACAGGAGCUGCAGGAAAGGUAAGUUACAGCUCUCUGCCAGCCCCGCCUUCUACACAGGCCAUGUCACUGGACCAACAGGGAAUGAGAGCCCCCAUCCCUGGCCAUGUAUCAAGCAGGGAGGGGGACAAAAAAAUAUAAAUAAAAAAUUAAAUAAUAUUAAAAUAAAAAAAAUCUUAAUAAUAUUAAAAUAAAAAAAAAAUCUUAAUAAUAUAAAUGAAAAUAAUAAUAAUAAUAAUAAUUAAAAAAAAUAAUAAAAAUGCCCACCCCCCCACCAAGGCUCUGCAUCACACACACACACCACAUUCAUACACACACACACACUGCAGUCAUACACACACACACACUGCACUCACACACACACACUGCAUUGAUACACACACACACACACACUGCAUUAAUACAAACACACCGCAUUAUAUACACACACACACUGCAUUCAUUAUAUACACACACUGUAAAUAAAUAUUCAAUUAAUAUAAUUUUGGGGGGAUCUAAUUUUAUUUAGAAAUUUACCAGCAGCUGCUGCAUUUCCCACCCUAGUCUUAUACUCGAGUCAAUAAGUUUUCCCAGUUUUUUGGGGUAAAAUUAGGGGUCUUAACUUAUAUUCGGGUCGACUUAUACUCGAGUAUAUACGGUAUUUCCAGGGCUCUGAACAAGUAUUGUUGGAACAAGAGGUACAAUGACCAAAUAACAGUCACCCUGGGAGAAAGAGUAUGCACCAGAACCUGCAGAUGAUAUCAGUGACAGACAUAAUAUGAUGUUUGUUUUUGGAUCAUAUCUUUUGAAACAUACUUUCAUGGUUACUUUAAAGUGGAUCUUUCACCUGCCCACAAAAUGUGAACAUUUUAUGAAAAAGUAAAUGUUCAUAAAGAUCAUAAGAUAAUGUAGGGAAUCUCUAAUUUGACAAAAGUUGGAGUUAAUGCCGUUAAAAUUUGACACUAGGGAAUAAAGCGUUGCCUUGCUCACCCUAAGGCAAUAUCUAUGGAGCUUCCUGUGGGAUCCUUCACAGACAUCAGUGUUGUCCCUCCUCCUAGUUUAAUACCUCCUCCAAUCUUCUAGCCAUCCUCUCCCCCAGCACAAUAGACCCUCUUCCAUUCAGGUGCAAUCAAUCAUGGCUAUGAAAAUUGCUCUGUUCCCUGCUUAUGCUCUUCAGUUUAACAAGGGGUGGCCGCACCACAAUGUGCGCUCCCGCUCCUCUCCCUCCCUCCCUCCCUCCAUCUCUCUCUAUGUUCUGCCUAUGACAUAACGCACACUGGCGCCGCUCAGCAAGCAGCCAAAACAACUAAAAUCAUCAGGGAACUGACAGCCGUGAGUUGAUGCUUUCAAUCAGCCAAUCAGAGUGUCAAAUUACACAACAUAGUUUAGUAUUUUCGGGGGGGGGGGCGCUUGUUUUUUUUUUUAUUUUAACAGUUGCAAUGGGUAUUAUGGAUUUUUAUUUGGCCUUUUUUGGGGCUGAAGAAAGAAAAGAAGACAUCUAAUGGUAAGUAUGAAAUGUUGUUUUACAGGGUGUUAGGUUAUUGGCCUCCCUCACUAUUAUUAGGGUGAGGGGGGUAGGUAGAGUGUUUUUAUUAGGUGGGGAGUGAUUAGAAACUUGGGGACCCCUGGUCACUUUAUUAUUCGUUGUCCCCACCCACCGCACAAACGUUUUAUAUUGAUCGUGGGACCCGAGUCUAAAGGGUAGAAACUCAGAAUCUAGCCCCAGACGAAGGCGCAAUACAGUAGCGCCGAAACACGCGUCGGGCAUUUUUAAACGCUUAUUUCUUUAUUUUGUUUGUUUAUUUAGGGCUUUAGGGUGAUGGAGAAUUUGAGUGUUCAGAUGUAUUUUGUUUUAAGUUUUCAGAUAUAACGGGAAAAUAAGGGGGGUGGCAUCAAGAGUUUACCUUAGAUAGCAAAGAAAGCCUGCACGAUUCUGAGUGUAUUAGGCAGAUUGUUGAAGGAGUCUUAUGUGGAGGUACUCGCUACCAAUAUUGGUGCUCAUACUGGCUGCAUAGAUGUUAGUUCGAUACUUUGUUGCUGGCAGUGUUUUUCACUUAGUGUCAGUUUCGUUUAUCUGACAGUUUGGUUGUAUAUGAUAGAGUUACUUCCACAGCAUUGAAUCAGUGUUGCCGGGAUCAGACUAUCACCUCCUUCUAAAGACAUAGAAUAUACUGCUUACUUGAGGUGGAUUGAUUAUCAUUUUGCUCUGCUAUUUUUGUAUCUUUGUUUUUGCUAGAGAAUUUUAGGUUUAAGGACCAUUUUGUUACUCUAGGAAACAGACAAAUGUUGUUAUUUUCUGUAUAUAUAACUGUGAGACAUUAUAGGAUGAGCUAAUUUCAAGUCCUUAUAUAAGUGUCUCUGAUGACUCUUUCUGGUCCCUCUUUAGCAGUGUAAUUUUCCAUUGUGUGUUGUUUCUUCCCCCCGUCCCCAUUUUCCUUGUUUUUUUUAACAUUUAGCUUAAACCUUAGAGUAAAGAGAGAGCAAGAGAGAAUAUCCUGUGAUGUAGCUUUCUAUAUUUCUCCUUAUUUUUGCUUAGCUGUUGGAACGUGUCAUUUAGCUGAACAAGUGAGUUCUCUAUUGGCAUUCAGAAGAGAUUAAUUAAAUAUGGAGCCAGGUCCUUGAAGCAGAUCACUUCUAACAAAGAUCUUUUGUCAUACUAAGUGUCAAGACAAAUAUGCUGAAUUGCCACUGUAAUAGGUAACAGUCAUUCAUAAAAUCACAUCGAAGGUCACAUAAUAAGGUAAUACUUUCUCUCCCUCAUGCAUUCAUCAAAACAUGACACGUGUUUAUUAGAUGAUAACCAUAGCUAUUUUUAAUAAUAUACUAAAUCAUAUUUGAGCUUAUAUAAUGCACUAUCCCUAUAGAUAUUGACUUAUGUUUAUCCCAUUUGAUUACUUUAUCAGAUUUAUCCUUGGAUCAAGCAGUUAUUACCCUACAUUGAAAGAUUAUAUCCUUGAAUAUUCUGUUUUUGCAAGUAUGCAUCUAGUAGCUGUUUGAACAUCUGUAUGGACUCUGAUAAAACCACUUCUUCAGGCAGAGAAUUCCACAUCCUUAUUGUUCUUACAGUAAAAAAAAAAAUUCCUUUGCCUUAGACGGCAUGUAAUAUUUGUGUCUGUUUGUAUGUGUCUGUAUAUGUGUGUGUUUGUAUGUAUGUGUGUGUUUGUGCAUGUGUCUGUAUGAAUGUUUCUCUGUAUGUUUGUGUGUCUGUAUGUGUGUGUGUAUGUUUGUAUGUAUGUGUGUGUAUGUAUGUCUGUGUUUCUAUAUGUAUGUGUGUGUGUGUGUCUGUAUGUGUGUGUGUAUGUCUGUGUGUCUGUGUGUCUAUGUUUGUGUGUGUGUCUUUAGGUGUGUGUCUGUGUGUGUGUGUUUGUCUGUGUGUCUCUAUGUGUGUAUGUGUGUGUGUUUGUAUGUGUGUGUUUUUUGUGUGUAUGUGUUUGUAUGUGUGUGUCUGUAUGCCUGUAUGUGUGUGUAUGUGCCUGUGUCUCCGUAUAUGUGUGUGUGCCUGCUUGUGUAUCUGUUUGCCUGCAUGUGCGGGGUGGGACAUAUGGUACAGGAGGCAGUGGUGUAUCCUGGUUUUGUGCUGCCCUAGGCAGGACAAAACUCAGGCGCCCCCAAACUCCCCCCCCCCACGCGCGCGGGACCCCCACCCAUCCCUCCCCCGGCCCCGCCUACUAAAUACACACACACACACUCACUGACAGAUACGCAUACACUAGCUAACAGAAACACAAACUCACUGACACACACAGACACUCACUCACUCACUAGCAGACACACACUAGCAGACACACACAGUCACAGGCAAGCAUACACACACAGUCAGACAAACACACUCACUCACUAGCAGACACACUCACUCACUAGCAGACACACACACUCACUAGCAGACACACACUAGCAGACACAAACACUCACUGACACACACACUCACAGGCAAACACACUCACACUAACAGUCAGACACACACACACACACACACACACUAACAGUCAGACACACACACACUCAUUAACAGACACACACUCACUAACAGACACACACACUAACAGACACACUCACUAACAGACACACACACACUAACAGACACACUCACACACACUAACAGACACACUCACACAUUAACACAUUUUUUUUUUUUAAACCCCCGCCUCAUCUUCCGGCUCCCAGCCUCACUCUGCGGCGCGCGAGGGAGCUGAGCAGACAGCUCAGAGGAAGGUGCUCCCUCGCCAGCCGCCCGCCCAGCGCCGCCCGCCCAGCGCCGCCCGCCCUCUCGGCAUGACUGUUAAGGCAUUUUUUUGCUGUCCCCUGGAAAAUGCCACCCAAGGCAAAUGCCUUGUUUGCCUCGCGGCUAAAACGCCCCUGACAGGAGGGUAGACGUAUGGGGGAGGUGGCGGGUGGUAGAUGUAUGGGAGGCCUCAGGGCAAUUUGGGGCUCUGUGGUUUUUAGUUAUGCCUCUGGUUAAGUCCCUCCUCAGUUAUUAAAUUAAUAGCCACUGCAUGUUGCCCACAGGUAGAGACUGGGGAUGACAUUAGGACUGCACCUCCCCAAAUUAUUAAAUUCAUAGAUCUCCAGGCUGUCCACAUUUGAGGACAGUGUGUGGGACAUUAGGUACCCCUCUAAUUAUAAAAACACAUAUUUUUUUGUACACACACACACACACACUUUGUAUAUGGUUCAGAAAGCACUGAUUUCAAACCAGCCACCCAACCUUCAGGCCUAAUGAUACAGAUUCAGUCUGAUCAACCAAACUUCAACCGUGAUUGGUGUUGGUAAAUUUGAGAAUUACCAUUCCGUUUGGAAACUGGGCAUUUUCAUCAAAUUUUGUUCAUUCUAAUAAAAUCUGGUAUUUUGUGAAAAACUAUAAGAAUGCUUGUCUUUAUCCUCCUUACAUGUCUCUCCUUUACCCAACUAUCCCAACCUAUGUCUUGCCUUACCCAUUUUUAUUUUUCUCAAUUCCUUAGUUAGCCCGUUGUGAUCUCUCUAGCAGCCAACAAGCAAAUAGCUAGAAACUUGUGGUGCUGCUAGAGUUAAUUAUGUAGUUGAUGGCCCAUGCUUGCUACCCAAUCACCACAUUAAAGAAACAAAAAGGUACUGAUAAUCAGUGCUAAAUAUAUUAACGCUACAAGCACCUGUGUACAAUCUUCUCAAUGUGCACCAAUAGAUUGUGUAACACACAGCACUAAAACAGACUAAAAGGUGGAGUGUGAAUGUGAUAAUAUACCUAAUGCUCUUUAACAGUAGCUUGCAUUGAUAUUUCAAGAUCAUAUACAAAACAAAUAACAAACAUAUAGUAUAGGUCUGUGAAAAACACAGCUAAAUAGUGAUAUAGGUCCUAAUUGCCAAAUCACAAAAAAAGCACCGGCUCUGCUCAAAGCCUCCAUGGGCCGGUGGGGAGAUCAAAUAUCUCCCUUACCAGCCCACAGCAGCAUGGAGGGAGGCAGGAGAGGACCCGGGGAGCUCUAGCCAGCAGCUCCGCCGCCAACGCUCAGAUCUCACGCGAGUGAACUCUAGCCCCGCAUGCUAGAGUUCACUCUCCACUGGACCACCAGGGAUGGCACAUGGCAGCAAGGAUCCCCCCUCCCUACAUAAGGUAAAAAGGGAGGGGGGAUAUUAACUAAUCUGCCCCCACCUCCACCACCAAAAUCCCCCAGACAUACAGCAAACACACACAUACAGCACCCUCACAGCUAAAUAGUGAUAUAGGUCCUAAUUGCCAAAUCACAAAAAAAGCACCGGCUCUGCUCUAAGCCUCCAUGGGCCGGUGGGGAGAUCAAAUAUCUCCCUUACCAGCCCACAGCAGCAUGGAGGGAGGCACAAGAGGACCCGGGGAGCUCUAGCCAGAAUGAACUAUUUGGGAGUGCCUGACUAGCUAUUUAUUUUCUUCAGAUAAUUGACCCUGGAGAAAAAUACAAGAAAUUUAAGGUUUAUUUUCCCUCCCAAUAAAGCUGUAUAAUAAACUGCUACCGAUUUGCACAAUUGAUUUGAUAUUUAGAAUAAAAAGAUUAAGGUAAUCAAAGUAAGCUUUAGAGAUUUUAUUUAAGUUACCUAAUUCAUUCACCACUUGUAAAAUCAAUAAUUCCAUAUCCCAUGUUACCUUUUUGUAGGUUUGGAGCAGAGCAGCCAGUGUAUAUCAAUAUCAUAAGAGAUCCAGUUAACCGUUUUCUCUCCAACUACUUCUUCCGACGAUUUGGGGACUGGAGAGGUG